UUUAAAGCUUCAAACUGGGAUUAGAUACCCCACUAUUCUUGGCUAUAAAUCAAAAUAAAUUUACCAGGGUACUAUGAAUAUUUAAAAUUUAAAACUCAAAGGACUUGGCGGUGUUUUAGACCCCUCAGGGGAACCUGUCUCAUAAUCGAUAAUCCACGUAACAUCUAACCUUUUUUUGCACUCAGCUUGUAUACCGUUGUCGUCAGGUAACUUUUUAGAAAUUAGAAGUUAGCUAAUAAUUUUUAUAAAUUAACACGUCAAAUCAAGGUGCAGCCCAUAAAAAGGAGAGGAUGGGUUACAAUUACAUAUUCGUAAUUACGGAAAACUAUGUGAAUUCAUAGUCUGAAGGAGGACUUGAAAGUAAAUUAGAAUAUAAAAAUAAUUUGAAUAAGGCUCUGAAAUGUGUACACACCGCCCGUCACCCUCUGCAGUCAAAA
rnacentral:rRNA from 1 species